rnacentral:rRNA from 1 species
UGGGGAAUUUUGGACAAUGGGCGCAAGCCUGAUCCAGCAAUGCCGCGUGCAGGAUGAAGGCCUUCGGGUUGUAAACUGCUUUUGUACGGAACGAAAAAGCUCUCUCUAAUACAGGGGGUGAAUGACGGUACCGUAAGAAUAAGCACCGGCUAACUACGUGCCAGCAGCCGCGGUAAUACGUAGGGUGCAAGCGUUAAUCGGAAUUACUGGGCGUAAAGCGUGCGUAGGUGGUUGUUUAAGUCUGAUGUGAAAGCCCUGGGCUCAACCUGGGAAUGGCAUUGGAAACUGGGCAGCUAGAGUGCGGUAGAGGGUAGUGGAAUUCCCGGUGUAGCAGUGAAAUGCGUAGAGAUCGGGAGGAACAUCUGUGGCGAAGGCGACUGCCUGGACCAGCACUGACACUGAGGCACGAAAGCGUGGGGAGCAAACA